GGCGCGGGCUCGGGCCCGGGUUUAGGCUUCCUCCCCCACUGGUCCUCGCGGGAGCCGCCAGGGCGUGGGGAGGGGGCGAGGGCCAUUGUUCCCGGCGCCGGGAGGGGCAGGAAAUUGUGGGGCCGCCCCACAGCGUCCGUCCGGGAAGCAGCCGCCAGCGGAAGCGGGAGCCUGAACCCCGCGCCUCGUGGCAGGGUUCCCAGGCCCAGCGGCCCGCCGGGACCCGCCAGUCCCCUGUCCUGCCCCUUCCUGGGUGGGUGCGGAGAACUGGGCGUGGCCAGGGAGUAGGCCUGUCACCUCGGUGACGUGGCCGCAGUCUGGUGUACCCCUCUCGAACCGGUACUACCUCGCGUUCUGGUGCCCUCCUCCCAAUUCCCUCGGCCCCGGCCCGUUUCCCGAGACGCGCCCUCCCGAGCCGUGACGUGACGCGACGCGGCGUCCCGGGCUGCGCCCGAGCGUAGCGCUGGAUGCUGCGGUGAGUCAGCAGCGUCAGAGCGCCCUCUGCCGGCCCUCCCGGGAACGCUGCGCCAAGUCCCGGGGGAGGGGGCUCUACGGAGCCUGGACAGGAUAAUGGACACCGAGACUGCGAGUCUGCAGGUGACCGCGAUAAGGGACCGAGCGUACUACGUGCGGAGAAUAGAACUGCAAUCUGAGAAACUGAAACCGGAGCAGCAACUAGUUCAAGUUCAGACAGGCUGCCCAAUGGAGACCCAAGGCCUCUACCCAGCGCCCCCCACAGACUAACCAAAGUAUUUAGUAGUGCUGCCAUCUUCUGCGUGAACCACGACCAGCCCUGGCCGUAGGACCUGCAGAGUGGGCACAUGGGCUGCCAGAAUGCCAAAGGCUCCAGUCAGCGUGGGCACGUCCACCUGCCGGACGUUGGCACCAUUGAAGAACACCUGGAGAGAACAAAAGGAGCAAGCAUGUGUCAACUGAACAGCCUCAGGAGCGGCCAAAUACCUGACCUUCACUGCUCUGAAAAGCAUCAGGGAAAGGUCGAGCCCUGAAGAGGUCACAAAGACUGUCCAAACUACCCGUGAUCUUGGGGCAGUUUGUUCAUCUGGAAGUAGGACUGUCUGCGACUGGGAAGCACCCGGUUCCUUUCCCAGAGAGAAGCAUCCAUGAAGGCUGGACAGGGAGGAGCCGGAGACAACUUAGUUUCGGGAGAAGAGAAAGCCUGGGAGCUGGGUGCAGGAGGGAGCCAAGGUGGGGGCGGGGUCCAGCUACCUGCCCGAUGAAGGUGGGGCAUUGGGCUCAGGAAGGGGCCGGGGUUCAGAUUAAGAACCACAGCGAGAGCGCCAGGUCCAGCAACCCCACCGGCUCCGAGGGUGGGAGGGCUCAGCCUCGGGACCGCACGGAGGUGUGGGGACCUGAGUCCGGAUCCAGGGAAACAGGUCGGCCACCGGUCAGCGGCCUGGGGAUACGAAACUGGGGUGCCGACAGUAGGGGAGGGGGCGGGGCGGUCUUUAAAGGAAGUUAGGGCGCCCGAGGAGCAGGACAGUGGUCCUGCGACCCCGCGAGCUGGGGGAACCUCGGUCUCGGGGCCGCUCAGGAGUUGGGUGGGCGUGAGGGCCGGGAAGGAGGCCGGACCCCUGGGGCUGGAAGCGCAGGUGCCGGGUCGAACGGCGAGGGCGCGGGAUCCGGACCUGCGUCGGGGAGGCGAAGGUGAAGGACAUCUGACCCGGGCCGGCGGCGGGAGCCGGGGCGGCGGCAGCCUCAGCGAAGGCGCGCGCCUGGCGCACGAGGCGGCCCAAGCCCGCGCGGCGGAGCAGGGCGGAGGGAAGCAUGGCGGCGGCGGCGGCAGACAGCGGAUUUGGGCGGCUGGGACGGCCUGGAGGGCGAGAGGACGACGCGCAGGGCUUUCUGGGAUCAGCAGUUCCGGCGAGUGCGCACGCGCGCACUACGACGCCCAACAGGCUGCGCGCGACGUCGGUGCUGAGACGUCACCGCCCGAGCGCGAUGCUUGCUGGGGGCUGUAGUUUUCUUGAGGUGAGAGGCGAUGAGGGCGAUAAAACGAUUCUCACGGGUAACUGCGCGGGGGAAAGGACAAUUCAGCACCAAGAUUGCUAAGGGGAGGCUCACUGCAAGGACAUCUGAGAAUCAGUUCCCCUAUGCAGUGGGGGAGGGAGCGUUCAACAGGCGUUGACGUCGAAAGUAGGCAAAUCAAUAGUAUGUCAGAAAAUGACACGAACUGAAAUAAACACGAACUGCAUAUGUGUAACUAUAAUGCACUAAAAAUAAAUCCAUAUCGCAAGCCGA